GAUGAAGAACGUAGCGAAAUGCGAUAAGUAGUGUGAAUUGCAGAAUUCAGUGAAUCAUCGAAUCUUUGAACGCACAUUGCGCCCUUUGGUAUUCCUUAGGGCAUGCCUGUUCGAGCGUCAUCUAAACCUUCAAGCCCUGCUUGGUGUUGGGUGCCUGUCCCGCCUCUGUGCGUGGACUCACCUCAAAUCCAUUGGCGGCCCCCGCGUCGGCCACGAGCGCAGCAGAAACGCGAACUCGUGAGCCCGUCCGGGCGGCUCCCAGAAGCUAACCCCCAAUUUUUGACCUCGGAUCAGGUAGGGAUACCCGCUGAACUUAAGCAUAUCAAUAAGCGGAGGA
rnacentral:misc_RNA from 1 species